rnacentral:miRNA from 1 species
UGAGCGCCUCGAUGACAGAGCCG